UAUCCAGGAAAAACCCUGUUCUGGUGACUGU
rnacentral:piRNA from 1 species